GACGAACGCUGGCGGCGUGCCUAAUACAUGCAAGUCGAGCGGACCGAACAGGAGCUUGCUCUUGUUCGGUUAGCGGCGGACGGGUGAGUAACACGUGGGUAACCUGCCCGUAAGACCGGGAUAACUCCGGGAAACCGGAGCUAAUACCGGAUAACACCGAAGACCGCAUGGUCUUUGGUUGAAAGGCGGCUUCGGCUGCCACUUACGGAUGGGCCCGCGGCGCAUUAGCUAGUUGGUGAGGUGACGGCUCACCAAGGCGACGAUGCGUAGCCGGCCUGAGAGGGUGACCGGCCACACUGGGACUGAGACACGGCCCAGACUCCUACGGGAGGCAGCAGUAGGGAAUCUUCCGCAAUGGACGAAAGUCUGACGGAGCGACGCCGCGUGAGCGAAGAAGGUCUUCGGAUCGUAAAGCUCUGUUGUUAGGGAAGAAGAAGCGUCGUUCGAACAGGGCGGCGCGGUGACGGUACCUAACGAGAAAGCCCCGGCUAACUACGUG
rnacentral:rRNA from 1 species